UGCUCCUAAUAUAGACCCAACUGGUUUGUGGGAUAGGCAGGGGGAGAGGAGCCUGCGUGUAGCGUUUUGUUGUUGGGUGCGUAGUGCCCAACUCUUUCAUGGAGAGAAUACUUAUAAGGCAGAUCUCGUUUCAAGAGAUGCGUGAACAAUCGAAGAAUGCAGGUAAUUCAGCCUUGUCCCAACUCCACCUCCCCAUAACUUCAGAGGCCGAUGCUGAGAUGUUCAUGAAAAGUCAUUGCUGCUAUGAGACCAUUCCAACCAGCUGUAAACUGGUCAUAUUUGACACAAACUACAAGUGAAGAAAGCUUUUUUUGCUCUUGUAGCAAACGGCUUGAGAGCUGCACCUCUCUGGGACAGCAAGACACAGAGAUUUGUGGGUAUGCUGACUAUAACAGAUUUCAUCAACAUUCUCCAUCAUUACUACAGGUCCCCAUUGGUGUGUAUUUUAACCAAAUGCAAGUCAACAUCCCAGACAUAAGAAUGUUUCACAUUUCAUGUCCAAAUCAUCCCAAUGUGUCUGAAAUGGAUUGUGUAAUUCAAUAAACAUGCUUUAAGAUGAUUUGGACAUGAAAAAUGCUAAUAACGGGGAUAUUGACCAGCAUUGAUUUUUUGACCAAAAUUCUUAAAUGUUAGCCUUUGGUGACAGUGACCAGGUAAACAAAACCAAAGCAUGGAUUGCUGUCUUGCCUUGUCCAUAAAUUGCUUACAGGGUAAGGAAACCCUUUUGUAAUUUGGGUGGACUAUCCCUUUAAGCCUUGUCCUGGACUAAAAAGCAUGUUCAAUGGAGACAAGAUCGUGGCUGUGUGAAUAGCACAGACAUCAUAAGUUGUCCAAUAUGUUUCCCCCCUCCCACAGGUUCAAAUGAAUGAGCUGGAGAGGCAACAAAUUGGAACUUGGCGAGGUGUUUCAUUCAAGUUUCAAAGCUAGAGAAGGCAAAUGAUACAGUGUUCUAUGUCUAUGGUAUAUACGUACAUGUCUUCACGUAACUUUCCCUUCCGAUUAUUUCUCUCUGUCUGCAGAUGUAUACCUGAAAUACUCCAACCACUGUCUUCACAGUAUCACUCCAGACGCCAGGUGAAUCUACUCCGCUCUCAGUCAAACCAACUCCUGUCACCUGGCUUUGUCUGAGUUGUUACUUUGCUGAUAUCUUUUUUAUUGAGUGACAGACUAAGGAAAUUGAGGCUGGGAUUCAGUCAAUUACAGGCAUUGUUCAAGGUUGUGUUCAUUAGGGCACAAUGUAGUAAAAUGUUUUUUGCAACAUGACCCAGGAGUGGAUGUUGGUUGUGCUCUCCAGGGUUAGACACAGUGACUAUUGGCCUACUCAGUCUCCCCUCCUCUCCUUUGCAGCCUCUUCCCUACUGAGGUAUAAGAUCCACAGAUUGCCGGUUAUCGAUCCUGUGUCCGGAAAUGUCUUAUACAUUCUCACGCACAAGCGAAUCCUCAAGUUUCUCCAUAUAUUUGUAAGACGACAUGACUUGAAGAUGUCUGUGUUUUUGCUCAUAUCAUUUUGGGUAUCCAAAAUCCAUUUUUAAGUACUCUACACAGAAAGAGACAGUCUCAAAACCCUGCUUCAUGCAGAAGACGAUCCAGGACGUUUGGAUCGGGACAUUCCGGAACAUUGCCACGGUCCAGCAGAUGGCCUCAGUCUACGAUGCUCUGUCUCUCUUUGUAGAGAGGAGGGUCUCCGCACUGCCCGUAGUAAAUGAGCAAGGUGGGUUAACCUCAUAUCUAGUUCAAAGUCGAACACUGACUCGUACAGUAUGUGUGUCUGUCCUUAUUUAGGUGCCCUUCAAAAUAAAGUUUGACUUGUAAGAUGUAGGUAGGCUGUGUAUCUCACUGUCCUUUCUACACCAAGGCAAGGUGGUGGCUCUCUACUCCAGAUUUGAUGUGAUUGUAAGUAGCCCAAAACUGCCCUUUACAGUUUAAUUCACCUGAAAACUAUACAAAAUCAAGUCCUUCGUGUCUUUGUUUGGUGCGUUGUGUACAUUUGAAUUGUUCUCGCCGCUCCUCUCCUCGUCUCUUCUUCUCGGAGACAGAAUUUGGCCGACAUACAACAACCUGAACAAGUCCAUGGAGGAGGCCAUCCGACGGCGAUGCUGUUUCGUCGAGGGCGUGGUCAAGUGCCUCCCUGACGAGACCCUGGAGACCGUCAUCGAUCGCAUCAUUAAGGCUGAGGUCCAUCGGCUGGUCCUGGUGGACAAAGAGGAUGUGUGCAGGGGGAUCAUCUCUCUCUCCGACCUGCUCCAGGCCGUGGUGUUAACCCCGGCAGAGAUUUCAAGCAAAUCAAACUGAGAUCACUAGAGAACAAUGUGAAGUGGAUGAAAAGGGAGACCGUUUUCAAAAUGUCAUCGUACUGCUGUGGAGAGAAACAUAAUCCGCAACAAUCAACUGUAUCAGUUGAGUUCAAUAAAACACAAUUGUCCUUAGUUGCAUUUUAUCAAAUUGAUGAUGUAAGUUUGUGUUGCGCUGAAUUUGUGCUUUAUUAAACAUGUUCUAAUCAA